GUCCUGUUGGAGUCCCAAAUGGGACGAAACGCGUGUCCUGGAU
rfam:Schistosoma curassoni strain Dakar, Senegal genome assembly, scaffold: SCTD_scaffold0006694